AUGAUUUAUUACUUCUCUGCUAAAUAUUUCCCCACUCAUAAGAAACAAGCUGCCUUAAGGGAAAUAUAUAAUUUUGUGCAAAUUGAAGAAGAGAGUCUCCCACAAGCUUGGGGGAGGCUUCUCCGAUUACUUAAUGCUUUACCUGAUCAUCCUCUCAAGAAAAAUGAAAUACUUGAUAUCUUUUAUAAUGGACUAACCGAUGCUUCCCGAGACCACCUGGAUAGUUGUGCUGGUUGUGUUUUCAGGGAAAGAACUAUUGAGCAAGCUGAAUUGCUAUUGAAUAAUAUGUUGAGUAAUGAAAAUGAUAGGACACUUCCUGAACCAACUCCUAAGCCAGCUCCGAAGAAAAGGGGUAUUCUAUUUCUCAGUCCUGAAGAUAUGCAAGAGGCAAAGAAAUCUAUGAAAGAAAAAGGUAUUAAAGCUGAAGAUGUUAAGAAUUUACCACCUAUUGAAGAAAUUCAUGGUCUUGAUAACCCGACAUAG
rnacentral:rRNA from 1 species